rnacentral:rRNA from 1 species
AUUGAACGCUGGCGGCAUGCCUUACACAUGCAAGUCGAACGGCAGCAUGGAAGAGCUUGCUCUUCUGAUGGCGAGUGGCGAACGGGUGAGUAAAGCAUCGGAACGUACCGUGUAGUGGGGGAUAACGUAGCGAAAGUUACGCUAAUACCGCAUACGCACUGAGGUGGAAAGCAGGGGAUCGCAAGACCUUGCGCUAUACGAGCGGCCGAUGUCAGAUUAGCUAGUUGGUAGGGUAAAGGCCUACCAAGGCGACGAUCUGUAGCGGGUCUGAGAGGAUGAUCCGCCACACUGGGACUGAGACACGGCCCAGACUCCUACGGGAGGCAGCAGUGGGGAAUUUUGGACAAUGGGCGAAAGCCUGAUCCAGCCAUGCCGCGUGAGUGAAGAAGGCCUCGGGUUGUAAAGCUCUUUCGGCCGGGAAGAAAUCGCACAGGCUAAUACUCUGUGUGGAUGACGGUACCGGCGAUAAGAAGC